GGCGACUCGGCUCAGUGGGCAGAGCGCUUGCUGGGCUCACGCAAGGCCCUGGGUUCAAACCCCAGCGCCA
rnacentral:tRNA from 1 species